GCGCGGCCUCCGCCGAGUCCGGCGUGUCCGCACGGCACCCGGAGCCGGGGACCCAACCGAGAACAUUGGGGUGAAUCGGCGCACACCGCCCUCGCCGGGGCGCACGCCGUAGGGCAACCCUUCCGGAUCCACUCCGCCCGAACCCGACAGCUAACCCGGUAGGCGGAUCAGUGGAAGGAGUC
rnacentral:sRNA from 2 species